GGAAGAUGUAACGGGGCUAAACCAUGCACCGAAGCUGCGGCAGCGACGCUUAUGCGUUGUUGGGUAGGGGAGCGUUCUGUAAGCCUGUGAAGGUGUGCUGUGAGGUAUGCUGGAGGUAUCAGAAGUGCGAAUGCUGACAUAAGUAACGAUAAAGCGGGUGAAAAGCCCGCUCGCCGGAAGACCAAGGGUUCCUGUCCAACGUUAAUCGGGGCAGGGUGAGUCGACCCCUAAGGCGAGGCCGAAAGGCGUAGUCGAUGGGAAACAGGUUAAUAUUCCUGUACUUGGUGUUACUGCGAAGGGGGGACGGAGAAGGCUAUGUUGGCCGGGCGACGGUUGUCCCGGUUUAAGCGUGUAGGCUGGUUUUCCAGGCAAAUCCGGAAAAUCAAGGCCGAGGCGUGAUGACGAGGCACUACGGUGCUGAAGCAACAAAUGCCCUGCUUCCAGGAAAAGCCUCUAAGCAUCAGGUAACAUCAAAUCGUACCCCAAACCGACACAGGUGGUCAGGUAGAGAAUACCAAGGCGCUUGAGAGAACUCGGGUGAAGGAACUAGGCAAAAUGGUGCCGUAACUUCGGGAGAAGGCACGCUGAUACGUAGGUGAAGCGACUUGCUCGUGGAGCUGAAAUCAGUCGAAGAUACCAGCUGGCUGCAACUGUUUAUUAAAAACACAGCACUGUGCAAACACGAAAGUGGACGUAUACGGUGUGACGCCUGCCCGGUGCCGGAAGGUUAAUUGAUGGGGUUAGCGCAAGCGAAGCUCUUGAUCGAAGCCCCGGUAAACGGCGGCCGUAACUAUAACGGUCCUAAGGUAGCGAAAUUCCUUGUCGGGUAAGUUCCGACCUGCACGAAUGGCGUAAUGAUGGCCAGGCUGUCUCCACCCGAGACUCAGUGAAAUUGAACUCGCUGUGAAGAUGCAGUGUACCCGCGGCAAGACGGAAAGACCCCGUGAACCUUUACUAUAGCUUGACACUGAACAUUGAGCCUUGAUGUGUAGGAUAGGUGGGAGGCUUUGAAGUGUGGACGCCAGUCUGCAUGGAGCCGACCUUGAAAUACCACCCUUUAAUGUUUGAUGUUCUAACGUGGACCCGUGAUCCGGGUUGCGGACAGUGUCUGGUGGGUAGUUUGACUGGGGCGGUCUCCUCCUAAAGAGUAACGGAGGAGCACGAAGGUUGGCUAAUCCUGGUCGGACAUCAGGAGGUUAGUGCAAUGGCAUAAGCCAGCUUGACUGCGAGCGUGACGGCGCGAGCAGGUGCGAAAGCAGGUCAUAGUGAUCCGGUGGUUCUGAAUGGAAGGGCCAUCGCUCAACGGAUAAAAGGUACUCCGGGGAUAACAGGCUGAUACCGCCCAAGAGUUCAUAUCGACGGCGGUGUUUGGCACCUCGAUGUCGGCUCAUCACAUCCUGGGGCUGAAGUAGGUCCCAAGGGUAUGGCUGUUCGCCAUUUAAAGUGGUACGCGAGCUGGGUUUAGAACGUCGUGAGACAGUUCGGUCCCUAUCUGCCGUGGGCGCUGGAGAACUGAGGGGGGCUGCUCCUAGUACGAGAGGACCGGAGUGGACGCAUCACUGGUGUUCGGGUUGUCAUGCCAAUGGCACUGCCCGGUAGCUAAAUGCGGAAGAGAUAAGUGCUGAAAGCAUCUAAGCACGAAACUUGCCCCGAGAUGAGUUCUCCCUGACCCUUUAAGGGUCCUGAAGGAACGUUGAAGACGACGACGUUGAUAGGCCGGGUGUGUAAGCGCAGCGAUGCGUUGAGCUAACCGGUACUAAUGAACCGUGAGGCUUAACCUUACAACGCCGAAG
rnacentral:rRNA from 1 species